AUUUGCUAAUAUUAGGUCAUACGCCAUAAAAUAUAUGUAAAUAUAACUUAAUAAAAUGCUAAAAGUUUGAUUUUAAAUAACUAAAAAUUAGUUAAUUAAACAUUUAUUUAAUUAAAUUUUUAGUAACCCACCGAUUGAACUAGUAACCCAUCAACCCAAUUCCUCUUCCGGGUCAAGCUCUAGGCCAGGUUUAAUAACGCUACUCCAAAGAAUGGACACUAUGCAGCCACAAAGAAAACCUCAAUUAUCAUGUAUCCUAAACCUUAAUGAUGAAGUCUUACAAGUAAAAAGAUAUUUAGCCUUGUCCUGGCUUCCUGGAUAAAUGUGUUUUUCAUUCAAUAUAGCAUUGCCCAGCGCAAAAGAAGAAGAACCCAAAAGGGGAAAUACAAAUAUAAAUGUAUAAGUACCACAUUACAAAUUUCCAAAUACUUAGAGAGGUUUCUACUAUGACAACGGACAAACUUUACAUAGGUUUGUGUGUGCACACGUGCGUAUUUAGAUAAAAUAAUGCCUUUAGA
rnacentral:misc_RNA from 1 species